AUGGACGGCCGGGAUCAGCCGCAGCAGCAGCAGCAGACGCCGACGCCGCUGCCGCUGCCGCUGCCGCCGCCGCCGCAGCAGCAGACGCCGGCACCGCCGCAGCAGCAGACGCCGCGCGUGAGCUCGCCGCCGCCGGUGGCCCCCGGCGUCAUGAUGCCGCAGCACGCCUACGGCGCGAUGCCGCCGGGCUCCGCGAGCGUCAUGCACGGGAUGCCGCUCGCCUUCAACCCCAUGGCGUCGCCCGGCGCCUCGCAGCCGGCAAUGAAGCCCGCGGACAUGCCGCCGCUCGCCAUGUACCGGCCCGAUUCCACCCCGCCGGGCAUGCCGCAGCCCGUUAGCGGUGGCGGUGGCGCCCUGGUGGUCAGCGUCAGCGGCAGCGGCGGCGGCCGGGAGCUCGUGAAGAAGAAGAGGGGAAGGCCGAGGAAGUAUGGGCCGGACGGGACCAUGGGCUCGGCGGUGAAGGCCGAGGCGGGCGGGCAGUCUGGUGGCGCGGGCUCCAACUCGAAUCCUGACGGGAAGCGCAGAGGACGGCCCCCGGGAUCUGGCAAAAAGAAACAGCUCGAUGCCUUAGGCUCAGCUGGGACAUCAUUUACUCCUCACAUAAUUACUGUCAAGCCUAAUGAGGAUGUUGCUUCGAAAAUAAUGUCUUUUUCACAACAAGGCCCACGUACUACAUGUAUAAUCUCAGCAAACGGUGCGCUGUGCACAGCAACACUCCGUCAACCAGCAACCUCUGGUGGCAUAGUGACAUAUGAGGGCCACUUUGAUAUUCUCUCUCUGUCGGGCUCAUUUCUGCUGGCAGAGGAUGGUGACACUCGUAGCAGGACAGGUGGUCUGAGUGUUGCUCUGGCUGGAAGCGAUGGGCGUAUUGUAGGAGGUUGUGUUGCAGGAAUGCUUAUGGCUGCAACGCCUGUCCAGGUUGUGGUGGGCAGCUUCAUCGCCGAAGGUAACAAAAAGCCCAAGGAAGAACAACCAAAACGCGAGCCAACAUCUGCGCCGAUGCUAACAUCUGCGCCGAUGCAGACGGCUGCUGGCUUCGGUGCAGCCUCAGCUGCUGCUACGCCAUCAGACGGAACAUCAAGCGACCACUCUGAUGACCCAGGGAGCCCUAUGGGACCCAAUGGUAGCGCGUUCAACAAUGCAGGCCAUCCGACACACGCUUCAUAUGCUCCUGUGGGCUGGUCACUCUCCGGGAACCAAGGCCGCUACGACCCAGACAUGAAGAUGGUGACCGACUAA
rnacentral:rRNA from 1 species